UACAGAGGGUGCAAGCGUUAAUCGGAAUUACUGGGCGUAAAGCGCACGUAGGCGGACUGGAAAGUCAGAGGUGAAAUCCCAGGGCUCAACCUUGGAACUGCCUUUGAAACUCCCGGUCUUGAGGUCGAGAGAGGUCAGUGGAAUUCCGAGUGUAGAGGUGAAAUUCGUAGAUAUUCGGAAGAACACCAGUGGCGAAGGCGACUGACUGGACAAGUAUUGACGCUGAGGUGCGAAAGCGUGGGGAGCAAACAGGAUUAGAAACCCCGGUAGU
rnacentral:rRNA from 1 species